CCUCCUUAAAGAGAUCAUCGGAAUUAUCAGGUGAGUGCUCACGCGUAAAAACUAAUUAUUUGUAAAAGGCAUCUGGGUCUGUAGCUCAGUUGGUUAGAGCGCACCCCUGAUAAGGGUGAGGUCGGUGGUUCAAAUCCACCCAGACCCACCAGUUUUGGGUUGCUCUGAUUGAGUCUGGUCGGGAAUUGGGGCUAUAGCUCAGCUGGGAGAGCGCCUGCCUUGCACGCAGGAGGUCAGCGGUUCGAUCCCGCUUAGCUCCACCAUUAUUCGAUAAUGGGGCGCUGGGACUAAUCGAGAGAGAGAAAUCAGAACUAAGCGAUUCGAGUGAAUAGUUUAGUUCUGGUUUUUUACUGGACGGCAUCGGGGACGACCCAUGUCGUAGAUCUUUUAACAAGUUAAUUUGAGUCUGUAGUUGUUCAUUGGAAGAAUGAAAGAAUCUGUCCUUAA
rnacentral:tRNA from 1 species